rnacentral:lncRNA from 10 species
GAGUCUUCGGCGGGCUCGCGAGCCCGGCCGCGGCCUGCUGGUUUCAGACGGAGUCUUACUCUCUCUCCCGGUCUGGAGUGCAGUGGCGUGAUCUCGGCUCAAUGUAACCUCCACUCUCCGGGUUCAAGGGGUUCUCCUGCCUCAGCCUCCCAAGUAGCUAGGACCACAGGUGCACACCAUCACGGCUGGCUAAUUUUUUUGUAUUUUUUGUAGAGACGGGGUUUUGCCGUGUUGCCCAGGCUGGUCUCCAACUCCUGGUCUCCAGCUACCUGCCUCAGUCUCCCAAAGUGCUGGGAUUAUAGGCGUGGGCCACAGCUCCUGGCCGAAUUUGAUUUUUAUUUAAUUUAAAUAACCAUAUGGGAGUAGACAGUGCGGCCCCCUAGAUUCUGCUCUUUUUAGUCCAUUUCUCCCCUUUGUCUUCCUGAAGGCUGAGUUGCUUAAUGUCUCUUGAGUACAUC